rnacentral:rRNA from 1 species
AGAAGGCCUUCGGGUUAGUAAACUGCUUUUGUCAGGGAAGAAAUCCUCUGGGUUAAUACCUCGGGGGGAUGACGGUACCUGAAGAAUAAGCACCGGCUAACUACGUGCCAGCAGCCGCGGUAAUACGUAGGGUGCGAGCGUUAAUCGGAAUUACUGGGCGUAAAGCGUGCGCAGGCGGUUAUGCAAGACAGAGGUGAAGUCCCCGGGCUCAACCUGGGAACUGCCUUUGUGACUGCAUAGCUAGAGUACGGUAGAGGGGGAUGGAAUUCCGCGUGUAGCAGUGAAAUGCGUAGAUAUGCGGAGGAACACCGAUGGCGAAGGCAAUCCCCUGGACCUGUACUGACACUCAUGCACGAAAGCGUGGGGAUCAAACAGGAUUAGAUACCCUGGUAGUCCACGCCCUAAACGAUGUCAACUGGUUGAUAGGACAGGCUUAGCUGCUACAGUACACGACAGCUAACGACGUGACAGUUGACCGCCUGGGGAGUACGGCCGCAAGGUUGAAACUCAAAGGACUUGACGGGGACCCGCACAA